CCAGGCAGUAGUUUCCUCCAACUCUUCAGCUGGCAGCAGACACAGAAGGAAAGGAUGUUAAAUCACUCUAAAAUCCCCAGGCAAGCAAAUGUCUGCUGCACCAGAGAACAUCCACCACCUAAGAGACCUCACCUAAAGUACUGGGCACCACAGCUUAAGAAGGAUAUUGACAAGCUGGACCAUCUCCAGAGGACAGUGACGAAGAUAGUGAAGAGCCUGGAAACCAAGUCUCAUGAGGAAAGGUUAAAGGAGCUGUGUUAUGUUUAGCCAGGAGAACAGAUAAGAAGCAACAUGAUAGCCAUCUUCAAAUAUUUGGAGGGCUAUUGCAUAGAUAAUAAGAGCAAAUUUGCUACUCCAGAACAUGGGACUUGAAGUAAUGGGUUCCAGCUACAAAAUGAAAAAGAGAACAAGAAGAUAAGAAUGAAACACUAGGAAGAACUUCCUGGUGCUAUAAGCUACUUAACAGACUGCUUUGGAAGAUGGUGAACUCUCAUUCAUUGGAAGUUUUUAAGCAGAGGCUGCUUGACCACCUAUCACUAUCAGGGUUGCUGCAACAGUGGAUUUCCUGCAUUGGUGGGGGGUGGACGAGAUAACAUUGAUGCCUCUUCCAAGUCUAUGAUUCUGUGCUAGCAUGAACCCUUUCCCUGAAAAUGCUUGUGAGAUUGUUUGUUUAGUUUGACAAAUUAGAUCAUUAUUAUUAGAGAGAUGCCCAUGCUGCAAGAUUGACUUUGCAUGCACCCAUGUUUUUUUAAAAUCCACCGUUUCUGAGCUGCCCUGUGUACUCUCCACUUUGAUCUGUAAUUGUUUUCUACUCUGUAUAAAACAAGGCACAGGAACCCCUCCAGAGUGGAUUAAGUCUGUCAAAUUACAGACAAUUUAUGGGGAAUAUAAAAGGGAUUCACUUUCCUCCAUAAUCUCUGGGGUUGGGGAAGUGGAGGGUUGUCUCUUCCCUUACCUUAAAAUAAUCUUUUUUUUAAUAAAGAAAAUUGCCACUUCAUUCCUGCAUUUCUUAUCCUGGGUUAGUUUGUGUCCUCCGA